GAUGAACGCUGGCGGCGUGCUUAACACAUGCCAGUCGAACGAAGCACUUAAGAUUGAUUCUUCGGAUGACGUCUUUUGUGACUUAGUGGCGGACGGGUGAGUAACGCGUGGGUAACCUGCCUCACACAGGGGGAUAACAGUUAGAAAUGACUGCUAAUACCGCAUAACCCGAUAGGAUCGCAUGAUCCAGACGGAAAAGAUUUAUCGGUGUGAGAUGGAACCGCGUCUGAUUAGCUAGUUGGUGAGGUAACGGCCCACCAAGGCGACGAUCAGUAGCCGGGCUGAGAGGGUGAACGGCCACAUUGGGACUGAGACACGGCCCAAACUCCUACGGGAGGCAGCAGUGGGGAAUAUUGCACAAUGGGGGAAACCCUAAUGCAGCGACGCCGCGUGAGUGAAGAAGUAUUUCGGUAUGUAGAGCUCUAUCAGCAGGGAAGAAAAUGACGGUACCUGACUAAGAAGCCCCGGCUAACUAAGUG
rnacentral:rRNA from 1 species